CUUGGAAGUCUCCAACUAUCUGGCAAAUAAGUGGGGGUUACCUUGUGGUUAGAAUUUCAUCCCAAACUGCCCUGGUGACCCUGCCAGGAAGGAAUGAGGGGGGUGGAGGCACCACCAAAUAAAUUCAUAGGAGAAAAUAAAGAAGAUACACCCUGCUGAGUGGGUGGCAGGAUCCAGAAGAACCCAGACCUGUCCAUCAAACCUGUAUGCAGAUUGGCAUUAUAGAAGAUAACCGGGUGGAGAGGGGGCACUACACUGGUAUAAGAGAGUGAAUUUAGGUUAAUUUCUUCAACCACAGUUAAAGGUUUUCUUAUUGUAUAGCAGGAGUGACCUUAAAACACCCCCUAUACACCCACUGAAAGGAAGGUCUGUUAAAUAUGUGAGUUUGCUGAAAUGCCUCUUUUCCUGUUUAUUUGGAUAUUUAGCAGGUGCAACUGAAGCUGGUCCACCCAUAACCUUGAUCUGAACCACAGACAAUGGUAAUCUCCUAAGCUUUUCAGGUAUCAUGCAGGAAGUCAGGGCUGAAGGAUGGUGCAGAGUCGAAUGACAUGAACACUUGUCGCAUACAGAGAGCAGCAACACAAUCCACAAGAGAUAACAAAACCAGCCUGUCUGCUGUCUGAACCCUGAGGAGCAAAAGGAGACACUGAGCUGAGUGAAAGCAGCUUCUCCUGGACCGGCAACCAGAAGUAACUCCGAUUAGAGGAACUGUGUCUGAUCUUCUGUGAAUCCCAGUGGACAAGAGCAAAGUCAGAACAGAGACCCUGGGUUCUCUCCUAACUGGUGCCUCUUCUAACUGGUGCCUCUCUCAAUUGAAGCGCACAGCAAAAAUUUGGGUUCUCACCAAAUCUCCUGAUGAUCCCGCGGCUGGUUCUCUGGCUUUGCUGUAUUCAUUUCACAAACCAAGAAAUCUGCAGUUCUCCAGGUAACCUCCGUGCUCCUCAGCUACUUCUAGACAAGGCAUCCAGUGAGGAAGGGGACACCGUGGUGCUGAAGUGUAAAGUACCUCCCCUCUCUCCUUUUUUCCGCGUUAUUUUCUGUAAAGAUGGGAAGGAUCUUGCAAGUUGGCCAAUGCAGGAAAGCAAAUUCGCCUACGACUAUAAAGUGAGGUCAAACAGCGCAGGGAGAUUUACCUGUUUGUAUCAGCAGAAGGAUCCUCAAAAUCAGGAAAAGAAUUCACUUCUAAGUGCCACCCAGAACCUGG